UACGUAGGGGGCAAGCGUUGUCCGGAAUCAUUGGGCGUAAAGCGCGUGUAGGCGGCCCGAUAAGUCCGCCGUGAAAGUCCAGGGCUCAACCCUGGGAUGCCGGUGGAAACUGUCGGGCUAGAGUCCGGAAGAGGCGAGUGGAAUUCCUGGUGUAGCGGUGAAAUGCGCAGAUAUCAGGAGGAACACCAAUGGCGAAGGCAGCUCGCUGGGACGGUUACUGACGCUGAGACGCGAAAGCGUGGGGAGCAAACAGG
rnacentral:rRNA from 1 species